GAUGAACGCUAGCGGCAGGCUUAACACAUGCAAGUCGAGGGGCAGCAUAAUGGAUAGCAAUAUCUAUGGUGGCGACCGGCGCACGGGUGCGUAACGCGUAUGCAACCUACCUUUAACAGGGGGAUAACACUGAGAAAUUGGUACUAAUACCCCAUAAUAUCAUAGAAGGCAUCUUUUAUGGUUGAAAAUUCCGAUGGUUAGAGAUGGGCAUGCGUUGUAUUAGCUAGUUGGUGGGGUAACGGCUCACCAAGGCGACGAUACAUAGGGGGACUGAGAGGUUAACCCCCCANACUGGUACUGAGACACGGACCAGACUCCUACGGGAGGCAGCAGUGAGGAAUAUUGGUCAAUGGACGCAAGUCUGAACCAGCCAUGCCGCGUGCAGGAUGACGGCUCUAUGAGUUGUAAACUGCUUUUGUACGAGGGUUAAACGCAGAUACGUGUAUCUGUCUGAAAGUAUCGUACGAA
rnacentral:rRNA from 1 species